rnacentral:rRNA from 1 species
UACGGGGGGGGUAAGCGUUGUUCGGAAUUACUGGGCGUAAAGGGUUUGUAGGUGGCUUGCUAAGUCAGACGUGAAAUCCCUCAGCUUAACUGGGGAACUGCGUCUGAUACUGGCGAGCUUGAGUGCAGGAGAGGAACGCGGAAUUCCAGGUGUAGCGGUGAAAUGCGUAGAUAUCGUGAGGAACACCAGAGGCGAAGGCGGCUACCUGGACAAUUACUGACGCU